rnacentral:lncRNA from 1 species
CCUUAUUGUGCAAUUACAACUCGAGAUAUAUAUAACACGGUACACCUCCGUUUUAGAGUAUCUACCUAUUAUAUAUAAAAAUUUCCCCCUCAGUCCCAUAAUAUAAAAUCUUUUUUGACAUUAUAUUAGUGUUAAAAAUGUCUUAUUAUGAGACGGAGGGAGUACUUGACAGGGUAAUCAGAAUAAAGGUAAUUAUCUUAGAAAAUCUCACAAUAAUUAGAAAUAUGCGACCUUUAAUUCGGUGUGCCUAUUUCCAAUCAACAAGCUACAACCGUUAGAUGUUCGUAAACCAGAUGGGAACUUUAAAUCUCACAAUCCCAUAAAGUCUGGAACCCAUGAGCUAUCAAACCAUCCCAUGAUUGAUGUAAAAAAAACCAUCCCACGAUUGAUGUAAGAAAUAUCCCACGAUCAAUCCAGAAAAAAAUCCCACGAUCAGUUAAAAAAACAUCCCACAAUUAUAAUCUCACGGCCCCAAUAGGUUGAGCGACUAGACCAUCCCACAAUUUACAAUCUCAUGACCCCAACAGGUUGAGCGAUUAGACCAUCCCACAAUAGAAACCUCAUGAUCCCAACAGGUUUGACCAUCCAUGAGCCGUCAGACCAUCCCACAAUAAAAAGAACAGGCACAAAAAAAAAGUUCAGAGAUGCAAUCUCUUCAAACUCUCACAGUAAUGUAUAGAGAUUUGAUUGCCCAAACCAGAGCAAUUACGCCUCAAGGGUUAAUUUUCCUCUAGACUAGAUGAUAUACCUUGUACAUCAUCUUCCUCCCGUGAACGACACUUCAAAGUCAACUUCCUCCAACAAGUGGCACUUUGGCAUUGUCUUCCUCCAGCGGACACCAGCUGGCUCCAUCGAGCAAUCAGACCACCUCAAGUAAGUACCAACUGCACGAAAUUAAUCAGGCCUAUUAAGGAUCAAUAAUACUUCAAUUAUACUCUAGGAAGUGCUCAUCUAACAACAUCUGACAUGUUUGAUCGGAAGGUUAAUUAUAUUGAAAUAGAAAAACUAUCAUGUGUAUUCUAGAUUAAGUAAUGCAAUUCUAUAGGUGUGGGUUCAUGUCUUAAUGGUGAUGCCAUGGAUGUUGGUUCCCGUGUAUUCAUGUUAAGAUAAUAUACUCUAGAAGACUAGAACCACAUUGCAGGUAUAACAGACAAAAAUGGGAUUGCUUGCUGCGAUAUAGAGAAACACAUGUGGUGCAUUAGAUGGUUUUCAUAUUCGACCAACCUCAAAUUCGAUAGUGGGUUUCUGUCUUAAUGCCACAGCUCCAUUCUGAAACAAAAGAUCAAAUCAAUAGUCAAAAAAUAUAUUCAUUCAUAAUAUGGUUUCAUAUAUCUAUUCCAGUUAAAAAAAUCUUAAAUUUACUUUGUGAUCACAUAAUCACUAGAGGCCAUUGCAAAAUAAAAUUGUGCAUUUAUAAAGCUGUCAUGUCGUUAUAUACUUACUUUACUAAUCAACAUUUUGUUCUUAUAUUUUUAGGGCCUCAAGGAGUAUGGCACCCAAACCGCUGAAUUCAUUGACUACACGAAACGAGUCAUGGACCAUCAAAGUCAAAGUCUCAAAGUCUUACAACUUUAGGACACAAUUAACUUAUCAACUAAUGAACUCAUUAGCACUGAUAAGAUUUUGUGAGAUAAAAAGGUCCAAGUAUUACAUAUAUAAUGUCUCUUCAGUUUUCCUUUUCCGAAGCUUG